GGUGUGUGCUUAAAAAGAAUGGAAUGGAAUCCGGAUGCGUAAGUGCCUUCGCUCCCCUAAGCGGGGAUGAACUAAAACUCCUAACAAGGUAGGCAAGCAAAGACGGGUUAUGCCUUCCAACCCGAAAAUAGUGCUUAUUACGACGACAGAGUCAAUGGCACAAACUGAUUCAAUAGCUGGGGUAAUGCCGACAACUUCAACGAGAGUGAACAGCUUCUUCGUCUUAAACGGAUCAAUGGCAUUGAUAUAAAGCAUUUAUCGCCCUAGGUCUGGGAUCUUUCCCAUCUACCAUUCCUCAACAAUAGGAGAUUCGAUUCAAUAGUAGUGCUUUUUCCUCCAACCUUGAGCAAUUCGUGUGAACAGAUUCAGGAUGAAUUUCCACUAUGCCUAUCGCCUUGAGCUUCCUCCCUUUUCUAGUCUACUUGAAACUUCCGACAACAGCUAAAUCUAUGGCACUUGCCUUGGCUUAUUCCCUCGGGUACUCCCCUUCUUUUUAUAAUCCAGUUCAAGCAUCAUCCUAUUAAGGUAUAUUGAUCUAAGAAGGAAGCACUCUUCUAUAAGCCUUCGAGAAGGUUCGUAGCCUUGCUAACGGUUUUCAACCUUUACCUAUGUGCCUAGUGACUGAUACCUACCACCGGAGACCCAAGACUCAAUUUGUUGUCCUUCUAACCCCGUCCCUCUUGGCUAAAUUCUUGUAUUCCUUCACUCAACCUUGGCUUGAUAGGCUUAGCACGAUACUACGGUUCUUCAGGCCCGACUCGGCAUGGUUCACCACGUUCCUCUGCUCUUUUGGCUUGUUAUAGAAAAACCUCGGCUCCUAUGGUCUCUUAUUUCUCUUCUUAAUACCCGACCGCUAGGUUCGUUCGAGAGCACGGUUCCGCUUAGGGCGCUUCUGCUAUAUAAAUAGCAUAUUUUUUUUAUAAGUGCUCUUUCUAGGCGUAUUGGUAUUGGAUCCGCUCUUUCUCUCGUGCCCUGAAGGGCGGUACAAAGAAAUUCGAAAUGAGCGCACCGACGGACCAUUAGGCGGUCAGUCAAUCUAUAGCAAUAGCAAAUAGCAGCAUUUCCUAUUUCUUUGUUCCCUAAGGGACGUAUUCUGAUCUUCUAAAAAAAAAGCAUGGGCGGUCUACCUGCUUUCCUUUCGGUCAGCUGCCCCUCAACCGCCCACAUUUAUUUACCGUGAAGGUAGCACUCAAAAACCGGGGUGCCGCCCUAAUUAAAGAUUUUGAGGGACCGACGCCGGACGGACAGACCUCUACGGAUCCGGUAAACAGGGUAGCCCCUGGUACUCUUGGGGCUGGAUUGAAUCCUAUUCGAACUAUAUCUGACUUGAUCUUGUCCAAGCUAGGAAGGUUUUUGGUCUCGGUGACAUUGGAAGUUUCAUCCUUGCUAAAGAAAGGAGCGGCCUUUAAGCUAAGGCUUAGCGACGACCCCCUCUCGGCUUAAAGGAAGCGGCUUGUCCCAUCCAAUGCCCUACUUUUAAGUGCUCGGUAUGUUCACUCAAUCAGAUCUGGAAGAAGCUUUCGUUCGUUCUAAGGCCUCUGCGGAGCAUGAAAAGGCCAGUUUUGAAGCUUUUAACCGGGGACUUAUUUGCCCUAAAGCCUGACUUCUUAGGAAGAGAAAUGGGCUUGACUUCUUCAUCAGCUGAUACCUUCUAAGAAUCAGUUCGCGGUGAAUGAAGUAAGGUAAGGUGGUACCGAUCUUUGACCGGAACUGCGUGCGUAUAGGUCCUCCCUUAUUAGGCUAACUGCUCCUAUCAUGUGUCGUGAGUUCGUACCCUGUUUUAUUCAUCGAGUGAAUAACGACGUCCCUUUUUAUUGGUUUAGGUGACCGAGUCUUCUCCCUUACUCACUCCGUCGCUGCGGAAAGGUUCACGAGUCUUCCCUCUAAGUCAGUCAGUGAGAAUCAAUCUUUCCAUUCUUUGGCCGACCCUUCAAACAGGAGUGAAUCUUCUUUCAUAGGGGGGUCACUCUUCCCCCAAGAUUGCCUUCUUAGUUAUAGGAAGCAACUUUCU
rnacentral:lncRNA from 1 species